rnacentral:rRNA from 2 species
UGGGGGAUAUUGCGCAAUGGGGGCAACCCUGACGCAGCAACGCCGCGUGAAGGAUGAAGGUUUUCGGAUUGUAAACUUCUUUUAUUAAGGACGAAAAAUGACGGUACUUAAUGAAUAAGCUCCGGCUAACUAUGUGCCAGCAGCCGCGGUAAUACGUAGGGAGCAAGCGUUGUCCGGAUUUACUGGGUGUAAAGGGUGCGUAGGCGGCUUUGCAAGUCAGAUGUGAAAUCUAUGGGCUCAACCCAUAAACUGCAUUUGAAACUGUAGAGCUUGAGUGAAGUAGAGGCAGGCGGAAUUCCCCGUGUAGCGGUGAAAUGCGUAGAGAUGGGGAGGAACACCAGUGGCGAAGGCGGCCUGCUGGGCUUUAACUGACGCUGAGGCACGAAAGCGUGGGUAGCAAACAGGAUUAGAUACCCUGGUAGUCCACGCUGUAAACGAUGAUUACUAGGUGUGGGGGGUCUGACCCCUUCCGUGCCGGAGUUAACACAAUAAGUAAUCCACCUGGGGAGUACGGCCGCAAGGUUGAAACUCAAAGGAAUUGACGGGGGCCCGCACAAGCAGUGGAGUAUGUGGUUUAAUUCGAAGCAACGCGAAGAACCUUACCAGGUCUUGACAUCCAACUAACGAAGUAGAGAUACAUUAGGUGCCCUUCGGGGAAAGUUGAGACAGGUGGUGCAUGGUUGUCGUCAGCUCGUGUCGUGAGAUGUUGGGUUAAGUCCCGCAACGAGCGCAACCCUUGCUAUUAGUUGCUACGCAAGAGCACUCUAAUAGGACUGCCGUUGACAAAACGGAGGAAGGUGGGGACGACGUCAAAUCAUCAUGCCCCUUAUGACCUGGGCUACACACGUACUACAAUGGAUGUUAACAGAGGGAAGCAAGACAGCGAUGUGGAGCAAACCCCUAAAAACAUUCUCAGUUCAGAUUGCAGGCUGCAACCCGCCUGCAUGAAGAUGGAAUUGCUAGUAAUCGCGGAUCAGCAUGCCGCGGUGAAUACGUUCCC